UCGGGAAUUUUGGGCAAUGGGCGAAAGCCUGACCCAGCAACGCCGCGUGAGGGAUGAAGUAUUUCGGUAUGUAAACCUCGAAAGAAUGGGAAGAAUAAAUGACGGUACCAUUUAUAAGCUCCGGCUAACUACGUGCCAGCAGCCGCGGUAAUACGUAGGGAGCAAGCGUUGUUCGGAUUUACUGGGCGUAAAGGGCGCGUAGGCGGCGCGGUAAGUCACUUGUUAAAUCUCUGAGCUUAACUCAGAACGGCCAAGUGAUACUGCUGUGCUAGAGUGCGGAAGAGGCAACCGGAAUUCUUGGUGUAGCGGUGAAAUGCGUAGAUAUCAAGAGGAACACCUGAGGCGAAGGCGGGUUGCUGGGCCGACACUGACGCUGAUGCGCGAAAGCCAGGGGAGCAAACG
rnacentral:rRNA from 1 species